CAGGUGUUGCUCGUUAAUCUGAUUAGAAUCAAGCAGACAUCUCGACUGUGGAGUGAUAUGAUUGGAUUUGGAACAAGGGUCUCUUGUGUGAAGCACUGCUGUUUUCAGUGUGCUCCCAGGUUCUGUCCGAUCUGAGGCAGCAGACCGGCAGGACCGUGCUCCCACAGACACGUCUCUGCCCACUCUUCAGCUGUGCGUUCCAACUCUGUGUCCCACACCUGCAAGAAAACAAGACGAGAAGAGUAGCUACAUCACAGGAUCCUGGAGCCAAGGUCGAAGAGGAGUAAGGAAUGGUGGUAUAAAAAGAGAGUUCAGAGAGAAGGAGGGAAGCCCAUCUGAUUAUGCAGCACUUUCCCCGUGCUGUGCCUCUGACAGGACAUUGAUUUUGGCUAACGUUUUGCUGCUGCAGGAUGCCGCUUGCCUGAAGUCCCUGCAAGGCCCCGGGAGGAGGCUGCCGUGGCCACGUCCAAGACAAAGACUAUGUCAAAUCUUCCCUGCCUCGACCCCUGCCAUUCUCCGACUCUCCACUAGAGGUCCUCAAUCUUUUCCUGCUUUACACAGCCAUGCACCUGUUUCCUGUUAUAAUCAGCCUUGCAAACACCUGAUAUGCUCCAUUUUUUUACUGGGGACUUAAAACACUCAGGACUGCUUGACGUCUCGAUGGUCAACAAUAAAAAAAAAUGAAAGCAUAAAAUACAGACAUCCAAAGUCACAGACAUGAGAGAGGAGGGUGCUUGAUGUACAUGUUUGUACAUGUUUGUACAUGCACGUCCUAAUUCUAACACUUGAAUCCCUAAUCGGAGUAAUUGGGUUUAAGAAAACUUUGCAUGUUAACACAGCUAUUGACAUCUAAGAGGGCUGUUAAAGUGAUGUGAUGCAUAUGACAAAUGUCAUUUACAGCAGGUUAAAGCGAAGGUCAAAUAUGCAUUGAACUGUAGUUAAUGGUUUAGUCUGAAUUGUCAGUUGAAACAGAUGUUCUGAAAAAUGUGGAGCCAGUUUGUAUAAUUUGAGUGAUGGCGUCAAUAGAAGUGUAAUGUUGAAAACCAACCCAUAUCAGUGGACCGUUCAGCUGAUAACCCUCAAUGCAUCCAGUUAGCAAAGGACAAAGCGAGCAUUCUACUGAUUUUCCUGCAUUCUCCAAAAGCCACUUUGCAACAGCUCUUUACCAGUGUCAUAUGUAUUAGACAUAUGUAUGCUCACUCUGUUCUGCACCUGCGAUCUUUGCUGCUGCUCUUCCUGCCUUGGCUUUUCAUGAAUGCACAUAAGAGAAUGGAGGUGUGCCCUCCCAGCUUCAGGCUUCAGCAUUCAACAUACACAAGUAGAAGGGCAGGGAGCUCUUAGAACAGAGCCAUACCACCAAAUAUUACUUAUUGCAUGCAAAUAUAUAAUUCUCUUUGAAAAAAGAAGUUGAAUUGGGAGUUUUGCCGACUGUUUCAGUAUGUGCAAGGGGCAGAUGAAGUUGUCCAUGAACAUUGGAAGUUAUGUUAGCUUACAUUGUUGAGUGUAAAGGCUGAUUUAUACUUCUGUGUCAAAUUGACGGCAUUGCCUACGCCGGGGGUCCGCAUAGCUCCCGUACUUAUGCAGAUGCCUAUGCACCUAGCUGACGUGCACCUCCUCCAAAAUGUAACUACCCGUAGAAUCGACGCAGACAGCAAGCCCUGUGAUUGGUCCGCUCAGCGGCAUUGUAUUUCCCGCAUUUACAGCACCUCCGGGAUCUCCGCUCAUCAACCGCACAUUGAUCGUAUAUUUCAUCUCCUCCUCUCUAUUCUUCCCUGUAAUCAUGCCUGUAUGACA